GGACUGGCGAGCGUGGAUUAGGCGAUAGCAAGUCGAACGGGAGUCGCCGAGUAGCAAUAAUGAGGCGUGAGAGUGGCGGAUGGCGAGUAACACGUGAGCAACCUGCCCUGAGGUUGGGGAAAACCGGACUGGAAACGGACGGCUAAUAAUCCGAUGGAGCGCCCAUGGACAUGAGUGGAGCGCGAAAGGGGGCCCGCAAGGGCUCCCGCCACGGGAUGGGCUCGCGCAUCAUCAGCUUGUUGGCGGGGUAACGGCCCACCAAGGCGUACGAUUAGCUGGUCUGAGAGGAUGACCAGCCGCACUGGGACUGAGAUACUGCCCAGACUCCUACGGGAGGCUGCAGUCGAGGAUCAUUCGCAAUGGGGGAAACCCUGACGAUGCGACGCUGCGUGGAGGAAUGAAGGCCUUCGGGUUGUAAACUCCUGUCAUGAGGGAAAAGGCGAGGGGACCCAACACGUCUCUUAGUUGAUGGUACCUCAAGAGGAAGGGACGGCUAACUCUGUGCCAGCCGCUGC
rnacentral:rRNA from 1 species